UACGGGGGGAGCAAGCGUUGUUCGGAUUUACUGGGCGUAAAGGGCGCGUAGGCGGCGCAACAAGUCACUUGUGAAAUCUCCGGGCUUAACCCGGAGCGGCCAAGUGAUACUGUCGUGCUAGAGUGCGGAAGGGGCUACUGGAAUUCUCGGUGUAGCGGUGAAAUGCGUAGAUAUCUGGAGGAACACCGGUGGCGAAGGCGGCAUCCUGGACCGGCAUUGACGGCCUGAGGCGCGAAAGCCAGGGGAGCAAACGGG
rnacentral:rRNA from 1 species